rnacentral:rRNA from 1 species
UACGAAGGGGGCUAGCGUUGUUCGGAAUUACUGGGCGUAAAGGGCGCGUAGGCGGUGUGUCAAGUCAGGCGUGAAAGCCCCGGGCUCAACCUGGGAACCGCGCUUGAGACUGGCACGCUCGAGUUCGGGAGAGGAUGGUGGAAUUCCCAGUGUAGAGGUGAAAUUCGUAGAGAUGUGGAGGAACACCGAUGGCGAAGGCAGCCCCCUGGGUCAAGAUUGACGCUCAUGCACGAAAGCGUGGGGAGCAAACAGG